GACGAACGCUGGCGGCGCGCCUAACACAUGCAAGUCGAACGAGCGAGAGAGAGCUUGCUUUCUCGAGCGAGUGGCGAACGGGUGAGUAACGCGUGAGGAACCUGCCUCAAAGAGGGGGACAACGAGUUGGAAACGACUGCUAAUACCGCAUAAGCCCACAGCUCGGGCAUCGAGCAGAGGGAAAAGGAGUGAUCCGCUUUGAGAUGGCCUCGCGUCCGAUUAGCUGGUUGGUGAGGUAACGGCCCACCAAGGCGACGAUCGGUAGCCGGACUGAGAGGUUGAACGGCCACAUUGGGACUGAGACACGGCCCAG
rnacentral:rRNA from 1 species